AGUAGGGGUUUCUAAUAAAGUGGUCAGUGAAUGGAUGUUCAGGUAGGGGUUUCUAAUAAAGUGGCCAGUAAGUGGAUACCAAAAGCAGAGAUCUAUUAGAAGGUUACAUCUCCGAAUGGCUGCUAUGUUCUGUAACAGUGUAGCUCAGAGAUGUAAAUAAAUAUAUAAAUGUCAUGUGAUCACAGGCUUUGUGUUUGUAACUCACCCAACCGGAUUACUGUUUUUUUAUUCUGUUCUUUUUAUACCCGUAUUGAAGGAAGAGCUGAGGGAGUGAAAAAUAGGAGGCCUUGUGAAAAGAGAUGAGAAACAUGAGUCCAAUGAAAAGAGAAAAUAAUGAUGCAGGGAUGGAGGAGACAACAGAGCUGCUGAUGUUGCUGGGUGGAGGAUGAAAGAGAGAAAAGAAUAAAUGCAGAGGCCGGAGCGGCAGCACAGACGCAGUUAACGGGUGAAAACGCUCUGGCGGUAAUGAGCAUUGCUGCUGGUGUGUCAUUACUGUGAGGACGCCGCACUCAUUCGUCAGAACGGGCCCAGAUGACGUGCGGUCGUGUUCCUUUCCAAAGCACUUGGGAUCAAACCGAAAAUGGAGCGCCCCGAGAUCUCUGUGCUUUUAACUCUGGCAGCCGGACACGCUGCGUCUUUUCCUUUGUUUCGGCCUCCACGACUGAUUCUGAUUCAGUGACUCAUCACUCCAGCCAUUAUUUUUCUCCAGCGAAUGCUCACAUGACGCACUUUUCUCCAUCUGGAGAGAACCAGGCCAUCCUUGGAAAACAUGAGCUCUAGCAGAAGACAGAGGAAACUCUCCGAAC